rnacentral:rRNA from 1 species
GAUGAACGCUGGCGGCGUGACUAAUACAUGCAAGUCGAGCGGACGGACGAGAAGCUUGCUUCUCUGAUGUUAGCGGCGGACGGGUGAGUAACACGUGGAUAACCUACCUAUAAGACUGGGAUAACUUCGGGAAACCGGAGCUAAUACCGGAUAAUAUUUUGAACCGCAUGGUUCAAAAGUGAAAGACGGUCUUGCUGUCACUUAUAGAUGGAUCCGCGCUGCAUUAGCUAGUUGGUAAGGUAACGGCUUACCAAGGCAACGAUGCAUAGCCGACCUGAGAGGGUGAUCGGCCACACUGGAACUGAGACACGGUCCAGACUCCUACGGGAGGCAGCAGUAGGGAAUCUUCCGCAAUGGGCGAAAGCCUGACGGAGCAACGCCGCGUGAGUGAUGAAGGUCUUCGGAUCGUAAAACUCUGUUAUUAGGGAAGAACAUAUGUGUAAGUAACUGUGCACAUCUUGACGGUACCUAAUCAGAAAGCCACGGCUAACUACGUG